rnacentral:rRNA from 1 species
UAGGGAAUCUUGCACAAUGGGCGAAAGCCUGAUGCAGCGACGCCGCGUGGGGGAUGAAGGCCUUCGGGUUGUAAACCCCUUUCAGUAGGGACGAAAAUGACGGUACCUACAGAAGAAGCUCCGGCCAACUACGUGCCAGCAGCCGCGGUAACACGUAGGGGGCAAGCGUUGUCCGGAAUUAUUGGGCGUAAAGAGCUCGUAGGUGGUUCAGUAAGUCGGAUGUGAAAGCUCAGGGCUCAACCCUGAGACGCCAUCCGAUACUGCUGUGACUAGAAUUCGGUAGAGGAGUGUGGAAUUCCUGGUGUAGCGGUGAAAUGCGCAGAUAUCAGGAGGAACACCAACAGCGAAGGCAGCACUCUGGGCCGACAUUGACACUGAGGAGCGAAAGCGUGGGGAGCAAACAGGAUUAGAUACCCCCGUAGUCC